GUGACAUCACAUCCACUAACCAAAUGGGGUGGUGUGAGUAUCUCUUGUAAAAUAAAAUUUCUCCUGAUGGCCUCUUCCUGCACAUUUCCUGAGGACGCCCUCGAUCACAAGCAGCUUGCUGGAUGAAUAAAGGGAAGAAGGUUUAUAUAUGCUAAGAGUAGAAAUGUUUUGGGAUAGUUCAUGAUUUCAAAAAGCUUCAGAGAAAAUAAAGAUGCUUAAUGUAGAGUACAAAACAUGUUCUCCCUGCAGUCUCACGAAUUGUGAACAAAAACUGAAGUGAAAACUCCCAGUGCAUAACUCGUCAAUACUCCUGUGAUCAUAUAACCAUCAGCAAGAAAACAAAUUUGAUUGAGCCCCCAUCCAGUCCUCUUUGCGUGGAAUCAGACCUCUUUCGCAGUGGAAAGGAGCAGGUAAAACAAAUAAGCAGAGGCACAAAAUCAUCACCAAACCAGACUCACUGAAAUGCCAACACUGGCAUGUGCGCAGACAUUUUCUACCCUAGACUUACUUCUAAACAGCAAUGCCGACAAGCGUGAAAGGUGAAAAAAUGUGGAUAAAUACAUGUUUGGUUUAUUGAACUAGGUCUUAUCACAUCCAAAUUAAAAACAAAAGGCACAUCUCAAUUUCAAAAUAA
rnacentral:sRNA from 1 species